UUUGGACGUGGCUCAGGACGAACGCUGGCGGCGUGCUUAACACAUGCAAGUCGAACGAUGAACCGGUUUCGGCCGGGGAUUAGUGGCGAACGGGUGAGUAACACGUGGGCAAUCUGCCCUGCACUCUGGGACAAGCCCUGGAAACGGGGUCUAAUACCGGAUACGACGCGUUCCCGCAUGGGAUACGUGUGGAAAGCUCCGGCGGUGCAGGAUGAGCCCGCGGCCUAUCAGCUUGUUGGUGGGGUGAUGGCCUACCAAGGCGACGACGGGUAGCCGGCCUGAGAGGGCGACCGGCCACACUGGGACUGAGACACGGCCCAGACUCCUACGGGAGGCAGCAGUGGGGAAUAUUGCACAAUGGGCGCAAGCCUGAUGCAGCGACGCCGCGUGAGGGAUGACGGCCUUCGGGUUGUAAACCUCUUUCAGCAGGGAAGAAGCGUGAGUGACGGUACC
rnacentral:rRNA from 1 species